rnacentral:rRNA from 10 species
GGUUACGGCCAUACCACCUUAGGCACGCCCGAUCUCGUCUGAUCUCGGAAGCUAAGCAGGGUCGGGCCUGGUUAGUACUUGGAUGUGUGACCGCCUGGGAAUACCAGGUGCUGUAAGCA